UACGUAGGGUCCGAGCGUUGUCCGGAAUUAUUGGGCGUAAAGGGCUCGUAGGCGGUGUGUCGCGUCGGGAGUGAAAACCCAGGGCUUAACUCUGGGCUGGCUUCUGAUACGGGCAUACUGGAGGUAUGCAGGGGAGAACGGAAUUCCUGGUGUAGCGGUGAAAUGCGCAGAUAUCAGGAGGAACACCGGUGGCGAAGGCGGUUCUCUGGGCAUGACCUGACGCUGAGGAGCGAAAGUGUGGGGAGCGAACAGG
rnacentral:rRNA from 1 species